rnacentral:rRNA from 1 species
UACGGAGGGCGCAAGCGUUGUUCGGAAUCACUGGGCGUAAAGCGCGAGUAGGCGGCUUUGCAAGUCGGGUGUGAAAUCCCGAGGCUCAACCUCGGAACUGCACUCGAUACUGCUUGGCUCGAGUCCCGGAGAGGGUGGCGGAAUUCCCGGUGUAGGGGUGAAAUCCGUAGAUAUCGGGAGGAACACCAGUGGCGAAGGCGGCCACCUGGACGGUGACUGACGCUGAGACGCGAAAGCGUGGGGAGCAAAUAGG